rnacentral:rRNA from 1 species
GAUGAACGCUGGCGGCGUGCCUAAUACAUGCAAGUCGAGCGAACGGACGAGAAGCUUGCUUCUCUGAUGUUAGCGGCGGACGGGUGAGUAACACGUGGAUAACCUACCUAUAAGACUGGGAUAACUUCGGGAAACCGGAGCUAAUACCGGAUAAUAUUUUGAACCGCAUGGUUCAAAAGUAAAAGACGGUCUUGCUGUCACUUAUAGAUGGAUCCGCGCUGCAUUAGCUAGUUGGUAAGGUAACGGCUUACCAAGGCAACGAUGCAUAGCCGACCUGAGAGGGUGAUCGGCCACACUGGAACUGAGACACGGUCCAGACUCCUACGGGAGGCAGCAGUAGGGAAUCUUCCGCAAUGGGCGAAAGCCUGUCGGAGCAACGCCGCGUGAGUGAUGAAGGUCUUCGGAUCGUAAAACUCUGUUAUUAGGGAAGAACAUAUGUGUAAGUAACUGUGCACAUCUUGACGGUACCUAAUCAGAAAGCCACGGCUAACUACGUG